GACGUAGGGCGCGAGCGUUGUCCGGAUUUAUUGGGCGUAAAGAGCUCUUAGGCGGCUCGUUGCGUCGGCUGUGAAAACCCGCAGCUCAACUGUGGGCUUGCAGCCGAUACGGGCGGGCUGGGAUUCGGUAGGGGAGACUGGAAUUCCUGGUGUAGCGGUGAAAUGCGCAGAUAUCAGGAGGAACACCGGUGGCGAAGGCGGGUCUCUGGGCCGAUAUCGACGCUGAGGAGCGAAAGCGUGGGGAGCGAACAGG
rnacentral:rRNA from 1 species